UGUGUAGGCGGUUGUUUAAGUUUGGUGUGAAAUCUCCCGGCUCAACUGGGAGGGUGCGCCGAAUACUGAAUGACUCGAGUGCGGGAGAGGAAAGUGGAAUUCCUGGUGUAGCGGUGAAAUGCGUAGAUAUCAGGAGGAACACCGGUGGUGUAGACGGCUUUCUGGACCGUAACUGACGCUGAGACACGAAAGCGUGGGUAGCAAACAGGAUUAGAUACCCUGGUAGUCCACGCCCUAAACGAUGCAUAUUUGGUGUGGGCAGUUCAUUCUGUCCGUGCCGGAGCUAACGCGUUAAAUAUGCCGCCUGGGGAGUACAGUCGCAAGGCUAGAA
rnacentral:rRNA from 1 species